UGUCUAUAUGAAGAUUUAUGUAGUCAGGCCUGCUCACUGAGUUUUAGAUUUUAAGAGCCGCAGUAUUCUAACUGUGCAAAGGUAGCAUAAUCAUUAGUUUUUUAAUUGGAAACUUGUAUGAAUGGUUAGACAAAAGAACCUCUGUCUCUUGUUUAAAAUAUUGAAUUUUACUUUUAAGUGAAAAGGCUUAAAUUUUUUAGAGGGACGAUAAGACCCUAUAAAACUUUAUAAAAAAUAGGUUUUUAAAAAGAUAAAUUUAAAUAAAUGUGAAAAUUUAUAUUUUAUUUUGUUGGGGUGACGAUUAUAUAAAUAAUAAUAACUGUAAUAUUAUUAAAACAUGUAAUAAAUGAAGAAAUGAAAAAUUGAUCCUAAUGUAAAGAUUGGAAGACAAAGUUACUUUAGGGAUAACAGCGUAAUUUUUUUUAAGAGAUCUUAUCGAAAAAAAAGUUUGCGACCUCGAUGUUGAAUUAAAAUAUCUUUAUUAGUGUAGCCGCAAUAGAGAGAAG
rnacentral:rRNA from 1 species